UACGGGGGGGGCAAGCGUUGUUCGGAAUUACUGGGCGUAAAGGGCUCGUAGGUGGCCAACUAAGUCAGACGUGAAAUCCCCAGGCUUAACCUGGGAACUGCGUCUGAUACUGGAUGGCUUGAGUUCGGGAGAGGGAUGCGGAAUUCCAGGUGUAGCGGUGAAAUGCGUAGAUAUCUGGAGGAACACCGGUGGCGAAGGCGGCAUCCUGGACCGAUACUGACGCUGAGGAGCGAAAGCUAGGGGAGCGAACGGG
rnacentral:rRNA from 1 species